GUUAGAAGCAGAUCAGAAAUCGAACACGUUUGCUUUUGCGAUUCGAGAGCCCUUUCUGGCGCGGAGCUAGGGGCGGUGUUACGUAGCUGCCCUGAACUGAGAGCAGCGUUGGCCGGGGGCUAGGGAGCCGGGCUGUUCCACGCUCACUGUGCGCCUCGGGCGGCGGGGCUCGGGCUCUGUCCGAGGUGCUGAACUCCGGGGCUCCGGCCGCGCCGGCAGAGUGUGCCAGCGUCCAUUAUUGCCAGUGUCUGUGGGCAUCUUCCAGAAGGCCGAGCAUGGGGGUCAGGUGAAACCAGGGCGCCAUGAAUAUCAAUUAUUACAGAAAUGAAAAGGGAUCCUGCACCCAAAUUCAAAUCAAGCAAGUUCACCUAGAGGUUGCCGUGGGGUGGAGGGCCCAGAUCUGGGCUGUUUGGAUCUCUCUGCAGGAUGAAAGGGAUUUCCUGGACCUGGCUUUGCUGUCCCUUGCUCCUUUUCCAUGUGAGACUCGCCUGCUUCUCCUUUGCCUCCCACCAUGACUGUAAGUUUCCUGCGACCUCCCCAGCCGUGCUUCCUGUACAGCCUGCAGAACUCAGGAUGGCCUGGACUUCCUCACAGUAUGGUGGCUGGGGAGCAAGAGGAAAAGGCCCAAUGUGCAAGCACUUAUGGAGCCUCUGCCUGCAUCACAUUUGCUAAUGUCCCAUUGGCUAAAGCAAAUCACAUGGCCAAGCUCAAGUCUAUGUGGAAGGAGACUACACAAGAACAGAAAUACUGGGAGGCAUAAUUCUCCAACAGCUGCAAAGUAACAGUCUAUCACAAUUUCUAAUUCCAGCUCUUGCAGCCAGAAGACACUGUUGGGUUUUUAGAUGCAGGGACAGCCCAGAGAUCCAAGCAGAGGAAAUACGUUUGGCUCUGGGAGAGUCUGGAGUCUUAUUAGCAGCUAAAGAGCCUGACUGGGUUGUUGCAUGUGACUCCAUGGUGCAAUACAGCCUCUCCAGCCCAGGGGCCAUGACAAUAAGAAGCCUCCAUAACUGGGAGCCAGUGAAUGAAGGUAUCCUGAACAAGCAUGAAAAGAAGUAUCAGCUCAAACAGAAGUUCUAUGGGUCUAGGAUGGGAUCUUGGCCCCAGAGUGGGAAGCGGAAGAAUAAACACCCCAGCUUCCUGGCCCCUCAGGUGUGUUCUGGACCACCUCCCAGAAUCCCAGCAAGACUGAAGUCCAGGUGCCUACAACAUAACCUUCUCAUUGGCACUCUUUAAUGGUUUCCAUCCCUCCAUCCCUGUCAUAAUUCUUCCCUAUUAGGGCUUCCUGGGGUCACCUUUCAAAUAAACCACUUAUACUCAAA
rnacentral:lncRNA from 1 species